GGGUACCUUCCGCAUGCUUGGUAUUCUCCCCGCGGGGCUCUGACCGCUGCCGCUCUCAGGCACCUGUCUUUCCUCUCCGUCCCAGAAUGGAGCCAAGACAAGGGAAUAAACGAAAUUCAAUAGUACACGGAGAUCGGGUGUCUGGGCAGCGUCUUGGAAAAACUAUCCACUACAGUACAGGUCAAGUGAAGUUCUUCUGCUGAUAUGUUCUGCUACUGCAUAAGGUACUAUAUUUCAGUUAAGAGUACAGUUAAAACAGUUUGUUUACCCAUUUCUACAACUGUUCUAGAACUAAAGUUGGAGUAUACUACUGGCAAAAUAGCUCAAUCUUUGUGGUAUUGUAGUUUUUACAUGCUUACCAUUUUAUUA
rnacentral:lncRNA from 1 species